rnacentral:rRNA from 1 species
UACGGGAGGCAGCAGUGGGGAAUUUUUCGCAAUGGGGGAAACCCUGACGAAGCAACGCCGCGUGAAGGAUGAAGGCCUUCGGGUCGUAAACUUCUGUCAACUGGGAAGAAAGCGUCCGACCUAAUACGUUGUGGUGUUGACUGUACCGGUGGAGGAAGCUCCGGCUAACUCUGUGCCAGCAGCCGCGGUAAU